rnacentral:lncRNA from 14 species
CCAGGGGCCCCAGGAUCUCCGGGAGCUCAAGGCAUCCAGGGCAUUCGUGGCAACCCCAGCAUCCCAGGGUCACAGGGAGACAGAGGGGCUCCAGGUCUGCCUGGGAUGCCAGGACAGAAGGGGGAGCGUGGGAAGAGAGGCCGGAAUGGAUUUCCUGGACCCCCGGGACCAUCAGGACCCCCAGGAAAGGAGGUGACUUCUGUACCUUGCCCCUGUGUCUUCUGAGCAGCAGAGGGAUGGCUGGUGGUGAGGUUGAGUCCCAGCUCUGGGACUGGGCCGAGUGUGCAUUCACCCUGUUGGGACACCAGGACAGGAGAGCAUUGAGAAUUGCAAAGCAAAGCCCUUUCUGUUGUGUUUUCCUUGCCCUACAGGGGAUUCCUGGGACACCUGGACCCAAAGGCAAC